rfam:Zea mays cultivar B73 chromosome 6, whole genome shotgun sequence.
CGGUCGAUGCCCGAGCGGUUAAUGGGGACAGACUGUAAAUUCGUUGACGAUAUGUCUACGCUGGUUCAAAUCCAGCUCGGCCCA